rnacentral:rRNA from 1 species
GACGUAGGGCGCGAGCGUUGUCCGGAUUUAUUGGGCGUAAAGAGCUCGUAGGCGGCUUGUCGCGUCGACUGUGAAAUCCCGCGGCUCAACUGCGGGUCUGCAGUCGAUACGGGCAGGCUAGAGUUCGGUAGGGGAGACUGGAAUUCCUGGUGUAGCGGUGAAAUGCGCAGAUAUCAGGAGGAACACCUAUGGCGAAGGCAGCUCGCUGGGACGUUACUGACGCUGAGACGCGAAAGCGUGGGGAGCAAACAGG